GGCAGCAGUGGGGAAUAUUGCACAAUGGGCGCAAGCCUGAUGCAGCCAUGCCGCGUGUGUGAAGAAGGCCUUCGGGUUGUAAAGCACUUUCAGCGGGGAGGAAGGCGAUAAGGUUAAUAACCUUGUCGAUUGACGUUACCCGCAGAAGAAGCACCGGCUAACUCCGUGCCAGCAGCCGCGGUAAUACGGAGGGUGCAAGCGUUAAUCGGAAUUACUGGGCGUAAAGCGCACGC
rnacentral:rRNA from 1 species